AGUGAACGCUGGCGGUAGGCCUAACACAUGCAAGUCGAGCGGCAGCACAGUAAGAGCUUGCUCUUACGGGUGGCGAGUGGCGGACGGGUGAGGAAUACAUCGGAAUCUACUUUUUCGUGGGGGAUAACGUAGGGAGACUUACGCUAAUACCGCAUACGACCUACGGGUGAAAGCAGGGGAUCUUCGGACCUUGCGCGAUUGAAUGAGCCGAUGUCGGAUUAGCUAGUUGGCGGGGUAAAGGCCCACCAAGGCGACGAUCCGUAGCUGGUCUGAGAGGAUGAUCAGCCACACUGGAACUGAGACACGGUCCAGACUCCUACGGGAGGCAGCAGUGGGGAAUAUUGGACAAUGGGCGCAAGCCUGAUCCAGCCAUACCGCGUGGGUGAAGAAGGCCUUCGGGUUGUAAAGCCCUUUUGUUGGGAAAGAAAAGCAGCAGGUUAAUACCCCGCUGUUCUGACGGUACCCAAAGAAUAAGCACCGGCUAACUUCGUG
rnacentral:rRNA from 1 species